rnacentral:rRNA from 1 species
UACGGAGGGGGCUAGCGUUGUUCGGAAUUACUGGGCGUAAAGCGCGCGUAGGCGGCUUUGUAAGUUAGAGGUGAAAGCCCGGAGCUCAACUCCGGAAUUGCCUUUAAGACUGCAUCGCUAGAAUCAUGGAGAGGUGAGUGGAAUUCCGAGUGUAGAGGUGAAAAUUCGUAGAUAUUCGGAAGAACACCAGUGGCGAAAGCGGCUUCCUGGUCCAGCACCGACGUCAGGCACGAAAGCGUGGGGGAGCAAACAGG